rnacentral:miRNA from 1 species
ACAUUCGAGAACCGUAAGACAA